GAUGAACGCUGGCGGCGUGCUUAACACAUGCAAGUCGAACGGGAAACCUUUUAUUGAAGCUUCGGCAGAUUUAGCUGGUUUCUAGUGGCGGACGGGUGAGUAACGCGUGGGUAACCUGCCCUAUACAGGGGGAUAACAACCAGAAAUGGUUGCUAAUACCGCAUAAGCGCACAGGGCCGCAUGGUCCGGUGUGAAAAACUCCGGUGGUAUAGGAUGGACCCGCGUUGGAUUAGCCAGUUGGCAGGGUAACGGCCUACCAAAGCGACGAUCCAUAGCCGGCCUGGGAGGGUGGACGGCCACAUUGGGGCUGAGACACGGCCCAGACUCCUACGGGAGGCAGCAGUGGGGAAUAUUGCAAAAUGGGGGAAACCCUGAUGCAGCGACGACGCGUGAAGGAAGAAGUAUCUCGGUAUGUAAACUUCUAUCAGCAGGGAAGAUAGUGACGGUACCUGACUAAGAAGCCCCGGCUAACUACGUG
rnacentral:rRNA from 1 species